rnacentral:rRNA from 1 species
CCUACGGGUGGCUGCAGUGAGGAAUAUUGGUCAAUGGGCGGGAGCCUGAACCAGCCAAGCCGCGUGCGGGAAGAAGGUACAGCGUGUCGUAAACCUCUUUUGUAAGGGGACAAAGGCGGGGACUAGUCCCCGGCUGCGGGUACCUGACGAAAAAGCGUCGGCUAACUCCGUGCCAGCAGCCGCGGUAAUACGGAGGAUGCGAGCGUUAUCCGGAUUUAUUGGGCUUAAAGGGUGCGCAGGCGGUCUGUUAAGUCAGCGGUAAAAGCCCGGGGCUCAACCCCGGCGAGCCGUUGAAACUGGCGGGCUGGAGUUCGAGAGAGGCACGCGGAAUGCGCGGUGUAGCGGUGAAAUGCUUAGAUAUCGCGCAGAACCCCGAUUGCGAAGGCAGCGUACCGGCGCCACACUGACGCUGAGGCACGAAAGCGUGGGUAUCGAACAGGAUUAGAUACCCUAGUAGUC